GGGUCACUUCAAAGAGAACUUGUCUGGCUUUCAAACCACUUGUUCUUACGCGAUGACCCAAAAGCAUAAUCUUCUACAGGAUACUAUGGGCACUCUGUGGUGUGUACCAUGGUCUAUUUUAGAGGAGAUAUC